UACGUAGGGUGCAAGCGUUAUCCGGAAUUAUUGGGCGUAAAGAGCUCGUAGGCGGUUUUGUCGCGUCUGCUGUGAAAACCCGAGGCUCAACCUCGGGCCUGCAGUGGGUACGGGGCAGACUAGAGUGCGGUAGGGGGAGAUUGGAAUUCCUGGUGUAGCGGUGGAAUGCGCAGAUAUCAGGAGGAACACCGAUGGCGAAGGCAGAUCUCUGGGCCGUAACUGACGCUGAGGAGCGAAAGCGUGGGGAGCGAACAGG
rnacentral:rRNA from 1 species